rnacentral:lncRNA from 1 species
AGCAAACUAUAUAUUAGCCAACGUAUAUACCAAUGCUAGACAUAUGACAUAUUUCACAAAUAGAUUGAAAAAUGGAACAAGGUUACCCAAGAAACUUUAAUGAACCACCUCCUUAUUACCAAGCCGCAACGUUUCCUGUGCAACAACAACCAGAUAUUAGAUUUACACCUCAAUAUCAAAGCAGCAAUCAAUCUCAGCAAUUUUAUCCUUCACCUCCUCUAAUUGGAAACGUACCAUGCGGAAAU